ensembl:lncRNA LINC00383 long intergenic non-protein coding RNA 383
GGCAACCUCCUUUGAGUCCCCUCCCUUUGUAUAGGAGCUCUGUUUUCACUGUGUUUCACUCUAUUAAAUCUUGCAAUUGCACUCUUCUGGUCCAUAUUUGUCACGGCUUGAGCUGAGCUUUCACUUGCCGUCCACCACUACUGUUUGCUGCUGUCACAGACCCGCCGCUGACUCCCAUCCCGCUGCUGACUCCCAUCCCUCCGGAUCCGGCAGGGUGUCCGCUGUGCUCCUGAUCCAGCAAGACUCCCAUUGCCACUCCCGAUAGUGCUAAAGGCUUGCCAUUGUUCCUGCAUGGCUAAGUGCCUGGGUUCGUCCUAAUCCAGCUGAACACUAGUCACUGGGUUCCACGGUUCUCUUCCAUGACCCGCGGCUUCUAAUAGAGCUAUAACACUCACCACAUGGCCCAAUAUUCCAUUCCUUGGAAUCCGUGAGGCCAAGAACCCCAGGUCAGAGAACACGAGGCUUGCCACCAUCUUGGAAGCAGCCUGCCACCAUCUUGGAAGUGGCUCACCACCGUCUUGGGAGUUCUGUGAACAAGGACCCCUGGUAACAUUUUGGCGACCACGAAGGGACAUCCAAAGCUAUAUGAAGAAUAGAGCCAAUAUUACAACAAAUAACCUUCAUGCCUGCAAAAACUUUUUCAGCUUAACUAAUGCUUGUGAUGUUUAACGCCUGUCUUUUCAACUUGGUCUACUGAGUCUUCAAUACUGGUGACUGAGCUGCUUGAAGUGAACUCUGGACAAGGUGGAGAGCAUCUUCUUGAUUUAAGAAAUAAUGCUGCAAAGCCGGGCAUAGUGACAUGCACCUGGAGUCCCAGCUACUUGGGAGGCUGAGGCAGGAGGAUUGCUUGAGCCCAGGAGUUCAAAGUUGCAGUGCACUAUCAUGGCACCUGCGAAGAGCCACUGCACUCGCACUCUAGCCAGGGGAGCAUAGUGACACUUCAUCUAUUACAAAAAAUUAUAUAAAAAUUAUAAAAAGAG